rnacentral:rRNA from 1 species
AUUGAACGCUGGCGGCAGGCCUAACACAUGCAAGUCGAACGGUAACAGGAAGAAGCUUGCUUCUUUGCUGACGAGUGGCGGACGGGUGAGUAAUGUCUGGGAAACUGCCUGAUGGAGGGGGAUAACUACUGGAAACGGUAGCUAAUACCGCAUAACGUCGCAAGCCCAAAGAGGGGGACCUUCGGGCCUCUUGCCAUCGGAUGUGCCCAGAUGGGAUUAGAUAGUAGGUGGGGUAACGGCUCACCUAGGCGACGAUCCCUAGCUGGUCUGAGAGGAUGACCAGCCACACUGGAACUGAGACACGGUCCAGACUCCUACGGGAGGCAGCAGUGGGGAAUAUUGCACAAUGGGCGCAAGCCUGAUGCAGCCAUGCCGCGUGUAUGAAGAAGGCCUUCGGGUUGUAAAGUACUUUCAGCGGGGAGGAAGGGAGUAAAGUUAAUACCUUUACUCAUUGACGUUACCCGCAGAAGAAGCACCGGCUAACUCCGUG